UGGGGAAUUUUGGACAAUGGGCGCAAGCCUGAUCCAGCCAUGCCGCGUGCGGGAAGAAGGCCUUCGGGUUGUAAACCGCUUUUGUCAGGGAAGAAAUCUUCUGAGUUAAUACCUCGGGAGGAUGACGGUACCUGAAGAAUAAGCACCGGCUAACUACGUGCCAGCAGCCGCGGUAAUACGUAGGGUGCAAGCGUUAAUCGGAAUUACUGGGCGUAAAGCGUGCGCAGGCGGUUUUGUAAGACAGAGGUGAAAUCCCCGGGCUCAACCUGGGAACUGCCUUUGUGACUGCAAGGCUUGAGUGCGGCAGAGGGGGGCAUGGAAUUCCGCGUGUAGCAGUGAAAUGCGUAGAUAUGCGGAGGAACACCGAUGG
rnacentral:rRNA from 1 species